CUGCUGCCGCCGGCGCGCGGCUUCCCGGCGGCCGCCGACGGGGGCCGGCGCUACGGGCCCUGGUUCAAAAGCGCCUCCAAGGAGGCGGCGGAGCGGAGCAAGGCGGGAGCCUCCGGCGGCGCGCGGAGCCGGACGCCCCGGGGCCGCGCCGCCCGCGAGAAGGAGGAGGACAGAGGUGAGGCGCCGCCACCGCGGGAGCUGCUCCAUCCCUCCCUCCAUCCCUCCCUCCAUCCCUCCCUGCACGCUCAUUUUCCGCUUGCGUUUUUUCCAAUUCCGCUUAGGCGUUUUCGGGCUCUCGGUGGCGCCGCGCUCGGACGUGGACUUUCUGCGGCCGCGGCGCGGCACGGCACGGGGGUUUGGGGCCCGGCCGCCGAGCAGCUCYGUCCCCGGGGCCAAAUGCAGACCUGCUUCCGUGUCACGUCCCUGGCCGCGGGGCUGCGUGCGCCUGCCCACGGCCRCUUUGGAGCAAACCCCUAGCGAUAACGCCAGGCUGUUUCCCGUGCACUGCCGCAGCCAGCGAAAGCCUUCGUACCCCCCACGAAAGCCUUCGUGCCCCUCUGGCGGGACCUUUCCAGGUUCCUAACUCUGGUUUGCAAUACGCAGGUGUGCAGGCAGGCAAGGGCUGCCGACGCCGGCCGGGCAAGGGAGCGUGGGCAGCCGCGGCCGCCGCAGGGGCCGGGCGCGAUCGACCGUCCCCGGCCAGCUGCCACCUCCGGUGCACGGUGUACCGUCGCGUCAGAGCRUUAUUAAUGAACGAGGAUAAGCGAACGUGGUGCUUCGCAUCGAUUUUUGGAAAUGUCGUCCGUUCAUCCGGAAGGCAACUGCAUGCAGGCAAAGCUACUUGCUCACCGAGGUGCUUGAAGUUUGCAUGUCUGCAAGAGCUGCCUGCAGGGGCUCGCGCACCGCAGCCCGGCUUCUUCCCGAGGGCAGCCCGGAGCCCGGCAAAGCCCCAGGGACCUGCAGCCACGCGGGACGCCCUGGCGCAGGGCGCUCAGCCCCUGGCAUGGGCUCGCUCCGCAGGGACGAGAUUUUUGCAAAACAGGGACUUGCAGGGUGCCCGCAGGAUUAGUCGCCUGGCGAGCGCACGGUGGCNNNNNNNNNNNNNNNNNNNNNNNNNNNNNNNNNNNNNNNNNNNN
rnacentral:lncRNA from 1 species